GGCUUAGAGUUUGAUCAUGGCUCAGGACGAACGCUGGCGGCGUGCCUAACACAUGCAAGUCGAACGGAGCUUGCUAAAAAGAUUUCUUCGGAAUGAUUUUUUGCAAGUUUAGUGGCGGACGGGUGAGUAACGCGUGAGUAACCUGCCUUCGAGAGGGGAAUAACAAUCUGAAAAGAUUGCUAAUACCGCAUAACAUAUAGCCAUCGCAUGGUGGAGAUAUCAAAGAUUUAUCGCUCGGAGAUGGACUCGCGUCCGAUUAGUUAGUUGGUGAGGUAACGGCUCACCAAGACCGCGAUCGGUAGCCGGACUGAGAGGUUGAACGGCCACAUUGGGACUGAGACACGGCCCAGACUCCUACGGGAGGCAGCAGUGGGGGAUAUUGCGCAAUGGGGGAAACCCUGACGCAGCAACGCCGCGUGAAGGACGAAGGUCUUCGGAUUGUAAACUUCUUUUAUUAAGGACGAAGAAUGACGGUACUUAAAGAAUAAGCUCCGGCUAACUACGUGCCAGCAGCCGCGGUAAUACGUAGGGAGCAAGCGUUGUCCGGAUUUACUGGGUGUAAAGGGUGCGUAGGCGGCUUUGCAAGUCAGAUGUGAAAUCUAUGGGCUCAACCCAUAAACUGCAUUUGAAACUGUAGAGCUUGAGUGAAGUAGAGGCAGGCG
rnacentral:rRNA from 1 species